rnacentral:rRNA from 1 species
GACGAACGCUGGCGGCGUGCCUAAUACAUGCAAGUCGAACGCAGUGGGGACUGGUGAGUAACACGUGGGUAACCUCCCAUCAGAGGGGAUACCACUUGGAAACAGGUGCUAAACCGAUACUGAUGGAUGGUCCCGCGGUGCAUUAGCCAGUUGGUGGGGUAACGGCUCACCAAGGCCACGAUGCAUAGGCGGCCUGAGAGGAUGAGCAGCCACACUGGGACUGAGACACGGCCCAGACGCCUACGGGAGGCAGCAGUAGGGAAUCUUGCGCAAUGGACGAAAGUCUGAACGAGCAACGCCGCGUGGGUGAAGAAGGGCUUCGGAUUGUAAAGCACUGUUGGUAGAGAAGCGGUAUCUAAACAAGAAGCCACGGCUAACUACGUGCCAGCAGCCGCGGUAAUAC